rnacentral:rRNA from 1 species
ACGAACGCUGGCGGCGUGCUUAACACAUGCAAGUCGCACGAUGAAGCCUAGCUUGCUAGGUGGAUUAGUGGCGAACGGGUGAGUAAUACGUGAGUAACCUACCUUUAACUCUGGGAUAAGCCUGGGAAACUGGGUCUAAUACCGGAUACGACCAAUCUCCGCAUGGGGUGUUGGUGGAAAGCGUUAUGUAGUGGUUAUAGAUGGGCUCACGGCCUAUCAGCUUGUUGGUGAGGUAACGGCUCACCAAGGCGACGACGGGUAGCCGGCCUGAGAGGGUGACCGGCCACACUGGGACUGAGACACGGCCCAGACUCCUACGGGAGGCAGCAGUGGGGAAUAUUGCACAAUGGGCGCAAGCCUGAUGCAGCGACGCCGCGUGAGGGAUGACGGCCUUCGGGUUGUAAACCUCUGUUAGCAGGGAAGAAGAGAAAUUGACGGUACCUGCAGAGAAAGCGCCGGCUAACUACGUG